GAUGAAGAACGCAGCGAAAUGCGAUACGUAAUGUGAAUUGCAAAUUCAGUGAAUCAUCGAGUCUUUGAACGCACAUUGCGCCCCCUGGUAUUCCGGGGGGCAUGCCUGUCCGAGCGUCAUUGCUGCCCUCAAGCACGGCUUGUGUGUUGGGCCUCCGUCCUCCUCCCGGGGGACGGGCCCGAAAGGCAGCGGCGGCACCGCGUCCGGUCCUCGAGCGUAUGGGGCUUCGUCACCCGCUCUUGUAGGCCCGGCCGGCGCUUGCCGACACAUCAAUCUUUUUUCCAGGUUGACCUCGGAUCAGGUAGGGAUACCCGCUGAACUUAAGCAUAUCAAUAAGCGGAGGA
rnacentral:misc_RNA from 1 species